rnacentral:rRNA from 1 species
CAGCCGCCGCGGGAAUACGGAGGGGGCUAGCGUUGUUCGGAAUUACUGGGCGUAAAGCGCACGUAGGCGGCUUGGUAAGUUAGAGGUGAAAGCCUGGAGCUCAACUCCAGAAUUGCCUUUAAGACUGUCGAGCUAGCAGGUGAGAGAGGUAAGUGGAAUUCCGAGUGUAGAGGUGAAAUUCGUAGAUAUUCGGAAGAACACCAGUGGCGAAGGCGGCUUACUGGCUCAUACUGGACGCUGAGGUGCGAAAGCCAGGGUAGCGAAAGGGAUUAGAUACCCCAGUAGUCCCUGUCUCUUAUAC